UACGGGGGGGGCAAGCGUUGUUCGGAAUUACUGGGCGUAAAGCGUGCGCAGGCGGUUAUGCAAGACAGAUGUGAAAUCCCCGGGCUCAACCUGGGAACUGCAUUUGUGACUGCAUGGCUAGAGUACGGUAGAGGGGGAUGGAAUUCCGCGUGUAGCAGUGAAAUGCGUAGAUAUGCGGAGGAACACCGAUGGCGAAGGCAAUCCCCUGGACCUGUACUGACGCUCAUGCACGAAAGCGUGGGGAGCAAACAGG
rnacentral:rRNA from 1 species